rnacentral:rRNA from 1 species
CCUACGGGCGGCAGCAGUGAGGAAUAUUGGUCAAUGGGCGGGAGCCUGAACCAGCCAAGUCGCGUGAGGGAAGACGGUCCUAUGGAUUGUAAACCUCUUUAGGCGGGGAGCAAUGCCGGGCACGCGUGCCCGGAGGGAGAGUACCCGCAGAAUAAGCAUCGGCUAACUCCGUGCCAGCCGCCGCGGUAAUACGGAGGAUGCGAGCGUUAUCCGGAUUUAUUGGGUUUAAAGGGUGCGUAGGCGGAUUUUUAAGUCAGCGGUAAAAUGUCCGGGCUCAACCCGGGCCGGCCGUUGAAACUGGGGAUCUUGAGUGGGCGAGAAGUAUGCGGAAUGCGUGGUGUAGCGGUGAAAUGCAUAGAUAUCACGCAGAACUCCGAUUGCGAAGGCAGCAUACCGGCGCCCGACUGACGCUGAGGCACGAAAGCGUGGGGAUCGAACAGGAUUAGAUACCCUGGUAGUC